GGGUUCGGUGUCGCAGGCGCUCGCCCACGCGGUGCGCACCGGGGCGCCAGGUACAGCGUGGAAAGCCGGGCGAGCGUCUCAGCCCUCGCUAGCUGGACCUGGACCCCAGACCAGUGGGCAACGCUGCCAAAACCCGCAAAGUCGAGCGAGGGACAACGGAACACCGGAUUCAAGCGCGGCUCUACCUAAAAGUCCUGGAAGCUGGAGAAGGGGCGGCGAGCGCGCGUCAGUGCAAGCCUGGCUCUGCUCCCGACCGUCACUGCGACCGCGGGCGCAGGAAGGAUGUGAGUGGAGGCCGGGGCGAAGCCCGGUUCCCAGGCCUUCUGUGGCCCUCACUCAGAGCCCACGAUUCAGAGGGAAGGGUAACUCUCUGCCUUGCCACCCGUCCUGCGUUCCCGCCUCCACGGCUCCCAAGCUCACAAAACCGAGGACAGCUGACAUCCUGGAGAUGAGCGUAAAAGACAUCUGCAGCGCCUACACGGCCCGGUGACAGCUGGGGUCACUGCGUGGAGGAUGUGAGGGGGUCGCCUGCCUGUCCCAGCUGGAACCAGGAGCCGGCCCGCCUCCCGCCUUCGUGGUGCAUUUGCAGAAGUUUGACUCCAGUACCUCCUCCCACUCGAGAACCGGGUCUCUGGGCCCGAGCUGAACCUGGAGGUUGUGGCCGCGGUGAAGUGUGGCUUGUCUUACGACUGCAGGCUUGCACCAGAGAAUGCGUAUUUACAGUCGCACGGCGCAUUUGUUUGGUUUUAAACCAUAUGGUUCAGUAGCACCGCUUCCUAGCUCUGGCAUCCCUGACCCAGAUCGUUUCCCAAGCCCUUCUUCUAGUCGGGGAUAUACGGAUGGGGAUGUGUCCCCUCACACUCCAGGGUUGGCUUUGCUUUGCUUAGUGUUGGAGUCUGCAACUACCCUGGGAUAUAAUAUGGACCCCAAUAGGGGGCAACCAAGAAGGUGACAGUCACCAAGCUGUCUCGGUGCAGUAAGGUGAUUGGGGAGAAGUAUGGGAAGGGGGGGGUUCCUGAUUUAAAAAAAUAACUGUGUGUGUGUGUGUGUGUGUGUGUGUGUGUGUGAUUGUGAUGUAUGCAUGUGCUACUAUGUAUCCAUGGGCAAACAGCAAGACUUCUGCCAGGAGUGGGGUGGGGUUGUAACCAUGGUGGGACGGGGUUGUGGUGGUGAGGGUGAUCCAUGCCUUUAAUCCCAGUGCUCUCAGGAGGGAGAGGCAGGCAAAUCUCUGAGUUUGGGGACAGCUUGGUCUACAGAUCAAGUUCCAGGACAACUAGCGCCACACAGGAAACCCUGUCUCAAAAACCAAACCAAAACAACCAAAGAAAUCUCUCAUUGAGCUGAAAGGUGAGCUCUCAGAAUUUGUCAAUGUCUGUCCCCUAUUCCUUGUGCUGGAGUUCCAGGCAGGACAGUCAUGUCUAGCUUUUUACAUGGGUUUAAACCCAGUCCUCCAUGCUUGUAGAACAAGUGCUCUUACCCCCUGAGCCAUCUCCUUAGCCCUGGUACUACUGGGCAUGGUGGCACAUGCCUGUAAUCUGUGCUUGGAAAGUAGAAGCAGGUGAAUCACUGUGAGUUUGAGGUCAGCCUAGUCUAUAUAGUGAGUUUCAGAUCAGUGAGUUCCAGGCCAGCCAGGGAUGCACAGGGAAACCCUGUCUUUAAAAGAAAUAAUAAUAAAUUUCAUACUCUUCUCCAGACCCUGAAA
rnacentral:lncRNA from 1 species